rfam:Oryza barthii chromosome 4, whole genome shotgun sequence.
UGUAAGUAUAAUCAUAAAUUUUCGUGUCCAACUUUGAUCGUUCGUCUUAUUUGAAAGUUUGUUAUGAUUAGUAUUUUAUCGUUAUUAGAUGAUAAAAUUUAUGAUUAGUAUUUUAUCGUUAUUAGAUGAUAAAAUAUAAAUAGUACUUUAUGCACGACUCAUAUUUUUUAACUUUUCAAAAAAACCUUUUAAAUAAGACGGACGAUCAAAAUUGCACGAAAAAUCAUGGCUGUAUUUUAA